CCCACUCCCCUACAUCGCCACUGACUGCCUCCCUCAUCAACCAUGGCUGAGAAGGUCACUGUAAUGAGACUCAAGGUUGAUCUUCAAUGCCCUUGCUGCUACAAGAAGGUCAAGAAAAUCCUCUGCAAAUUUCCUCAAAUCAGAGACCAGGUAUAUGAUGAAAGGCAUAAUCUGGUGACCAUCGCCUGGUGUGCUGUAACCCGGAGACAAUCCACGACAAAUUAUGUUGCAAGGGUGGUAAACUAGUUAAGAGCAUUACCCCCUUCCAUUACGGACCUGUUAAAAGCCAUUCCUAGACCUCACCAUUCUAAACAAACAGACAACCUUAUAUGGAGGAAUUCUCCAGAUGGGGAAUUUCGUCUCAAAUCUGCAUAUGAGAUCACUCGUAUGCUAUAUAUUCAGGCCAAACCCAAUGUUCAAACACCCCAUCCUCCAAGCCAGUCUUUCACUUGGAUUUGGACUACUCACACAUCUCAUCGAACCAAAUUAUUCCUCUGGUUAGCUUCACAAGACAAACUAGCAACAAGAUACCUCCUUCAUAAUAGAAACAUCCUCCCUGAUAAUAUCUGCCCUUUCUGCCCAGGACAGAUAGAGGAUACUAAUCAUGUCUUGCGUAAAUGUGUCCACGCCCAAGCUGUUUGGAUGGAGCUCAAUCCCAACUACUAUCUAUCCACUCUACACAUUCCUUUUCAUAUCUGGAUUAGGGAAGGAUGUAAACUUUCCACACCCUCCCCUUUCUACAAUAUUCCUUGGGGCACACUCUUUGCCUUUACUUGCUCCACCAUUUGGAAAUCCAGGAAUAAAAAGAUAUUUGAGCCCAACAGAACACAACCUCCACCAACCAAAACCAGCAUCAAGUUGGCUAUUGAAUUCUACUCCCUUGGCCCAAAUUCUGGCCAUCCCCCUCACAGAAAAUCCCAAAUUCUUAUCAGAUGGAUUCCCCCAAUCCUCCAUUGGUUCAAGCUCAACUCAGACGGCUCAGCCUUAGGAAACCCAGGUCCAGCGGGAGCUGGAGGUGUUAUCAGAGACGCCUCCGGAUGUUGGAUUAAAGGAUACUGCAGAAACUUAGGUUCUACAAACAUCAUGCUGGUAGAAUGUUGGGGUAUCCGAGAUGGACUAGCAAUAGCCCUUUCCUUAAAAAUUUCUCAACUUGAAGUUGAAGUUGACUGCGAAGCUAUUGGGCCUGUUUGGAACCUGAGUU